rnacentral:rRNA from 1 species
GACAGAGGGUGCGAACGUUGUUCGGAAUUACUGGGCGUAAAGCGCAUGUAGGCGGCAGCGCAAGUCGGGCGUGAAAUCCCACGGCUCAACCGUGGAAGUGCACUCGAAACUGCGCAGCUAAAGUCCUGGAGAGGGAGGUGGAAUGCUUGGUGUAGAGGUGAAAUUCGUAGAUAUCAAGCGGAACACCAGUGGCGAAGGCGGCCUUCUGGACAGUGACUGACGCUGAGAUGCGAAAGCGUGGGGAGCAAACAGG